rnacentral:lncRNA from 1 species
GUGAAUCCAAUGACGAUAAUAAUGCAUACUGUCAGUAUAUAUAAUAUUUAUCCAACAACAUUUAAAAUCUCUUUCAGUAGAUAUGAGGAGCGAGAGUUAUCGUUGGCCAAACUAUUUUUACUAAUUCUGUUAAGUUCGUUGUGCAUAUGAUGGACAAAUCUCGUUCCCUUCUCUUCUGCUUGCAUAAUUGGUGACAAAACAUGAAACAUCUUGCACGUCACUUAUCACAUCCAUACAAUACAAGAUGUUAGUAUUCAAACUUCUAUUUGUUCUCCCCUAUUUCGUCAUGCAUGACAGACACAUGAUAGACCACUUUACAGUAUCAUCAUUUUUCUUAUGCAUAAUUAGCAGUACUAAUUAGUUGUAGCCUUUGUACAUUUCGGCCCAAAUUGUCGCCCCUGUUCAUCCUUGCAAGCUUAACAAGAUCAUCUGCAAGUCAGUCCGUCCGUCAGGGUCCUCAUGGAGCCCUUGGUGGCCACCACCGGCUAAGGUCCAAAGCUCUUCCCAUGGUGGAAAAAGAUUUUGAAUUGGAUAGGAAGCCAACAGGGUAAGUGAAGAAAGCUGAGAGAAUAAUCCAUCAUUCAACAAAAACAACAGGGCACGAAAAAAUUUUUCUUUUAAAAAAGAAGGGGAAAAAAAAAAUACUUGUCAUGAGGUCGAAACGAGAAAGUUAAAGAGCACUCUUUAUUGAAUUCAAGGAGUACACAACAGGACUUACUCAAGAAUUUGCUAUUCAGCAAAUUUGCUGCCUACUCUGCCUCUUCUAAUCAAUAGUUGCAGGCUUCACUUCAGCAACUAUUAUUGGCCCUGAAUUUGAUCGAAACCAUGCAAAGCUCGAAGCCGCCUCUUGGUCUCAGCCAAAAUGGGCUAUGACUACCGAAACAAGAAUCACCCCCAAACAGAACCAAGCAUAGCACUGCCUCCCUAACUUUGCCAGCAUCUUCUGCAUAC